CCAAGCUACGAAGAGCCAACGGUGAAUGCCUUGGCGACUACUACCGAAGAAGGACGUGGAUGGCUGCGAAAAGCCACGGUGAGCUGCCUAUCUAGCUACGACCCGUGGAUAUCCGAAUGGGGAAACCCGGCACCUGUUAAGGGGUGUCACUCCGACUUGAACACAUAGAGUCGGUAGAGGGAACUGGGUGAACUGAAACAUCUCAUUAACCCAAGGAAAAGAAAGCAACAGCGACUCCCUGAGUAGCGGCGAGCGAAACGGGAAAAGCCUAAACCUGGCUGGUGGCAAGCCUGACGGUUUUGCCAGUUGGGGGUUGUGGGACCAGAUAGGAGGAGCGUCAGAUCCUCCACAAAGUUACAAAUUUGUCAGUUAGCAGAAGCACAUUGGAAAAGUGCGCCAUAGAAGGUAAAAGCCCUGUAAGCGAAAACUGAACAAACUUUGUUCUGUGUUCCCGAGUAGCACCGGAUCCGGGAAAGCCGGUGUGAAUCUGCGAGGACCACCUCGUAAGGCUAAGUAUAAGUAGUCGACCGAUAGUGAACUAGUACCGUGAGGGAAAGGUGAAAAGUACCCCGUGAGGGGAGUGAAAUAGUACCUGAAACCGUUGGUUUACAAUCAGUCAAAGCGUCGUUUCAAGCUUCGGCUUGAAGCCGCAAUGGCGUGCCUUUUGAAGAAUGAGCCUACGAGUUACGGUGUGUGGCAAGGUUAACCCGUGAGGGGAAGCCGGAGCGAAAGCGAGUCUGAACAGGGCGUUCAGUCGCAUGCUGUAGACCCGAAGCCGAGUGAUCUAUCCAUGGGCAGUGUGAAGCGGGGGUAAGACCCCGUGGAGGCGCGAACCGACCUAGGUUGAAAACUGGGCGGAUGACCUGUGGAUAGGGGUGAAAGGCCAAUCAAACUCGGUGAUAGCUGGUUCUCCGCGAAAUGCAUUUAGGUGCAGCGUCGCAUGUUCAGCCAUGGAGGUAGAGCACUGGAUGGGCUAGGGGGCCUACAAGCUUACUGAACCCAACCAAACUCCGAAUACCAUGGCUCCAUAGUGCGGCAGUGAGUCCUCGGGGGAUGAGCUUCGAUGGACGAAAGGGAAACAGCCCAGACCGCCGACUAAGGUCCCAAAGUUCUAACUAAGUGGUAAACGAAGUGGGAUUGCCAAGACAGCCAGGAUGUUGGCUUAGAAGCAGCCAUCCUUUAAAGAGUGCGUAACAGCUCACUGGUCAAGUGGUCCCGCGCGGAAAAUGUAACGGGGCUAAAGUUAGACACCGAAGUCGCGGAUUUCUGCUUAUGCAGGAGUGGUAGCGGAGCGUCGAGUUCGGAUUGAAGCAGCGGUGGAAACCGUUGUGGACUGAGCUCGAGUGAGAAUGUAGGUAUGAGUAGCGAGAGAGGGGUGAGAAACCCCUCCGCCGGAAGUCCAAGGGUUCCUGGGGAAGGCUAAUCCUCCCAGGGUAAGUCGGGAGCUAAGGCGAGGCCGAGAGGCGUAGUCGAUGCACAACCGGUUGAUAUUCCGGUACCACCACGUGCGCGUCCAUUCCAAUUCUUGGUUGCUAAGGGGCUGUCCUCCCUUCGGGGAACGACGAACCGACCCACCUUGAGGCGGAAAGCAAAGAGGGGACGCAGGAGGAUAGGUGAACCCAGGCGAUGGUUGUCCUGGGGUAAAUGUGUAGGAUGGUUAAUAGGCAAAUCCGUUAACCUUAUAUCUGAGACAUGAUGCCGAGCCGCUUUUAGGCGAAGUCAUUAAUUCCAUGCUUCCAAGAAAAACUUCUAGUUAGUUUUAAUAGUGCCCGUACCCCAAACCGACACAGGUGGACAAGUAGAGAAUACUAAGGCGAGCGAGACAACUCUGGUUAAGGAACUCGGCAAAAUAGUUCCGUAACUUCGGAAGAAGGAACGCCCAAGUAAAGUGAUUAAUUAACUUUAUAAGCUUGAACGGGCCGCAGUGAUCAGACUCAAGCGACUGUUUAUCAAAAACACAGGAGGGUGCAAAGUUCUAAUACAACGUAUACCCUCUGAAACCUGCCCGGUGCUGGAAGGUUAAGCUGAGAGGUUAGCUUCGGCAAAGCUUUGAUGUUAAGCCCCAGUAAACGGCGGCCGUAACUAUAACGGUCCUAAGGUAGCGAAAUUCCUUGUCGGGUAAGUUCCGACCUGCACGAAUGGUGUAACGAUUUGAGUACUGUCUCAACCAGAGACUCGGCGAAAUUGCAAUGUGAGUAAAGAUGCUCACUAUGCGCGACAGGACGGAAAGACCCCGGAACCUUUACUGCAACUUGAUAUUGAUGUUUAAUGUGCAGUAUGCAGGAUAAGUGGGAGACAUUGAUUUAGAUGCGCUAGUGUCUAAUGAGUCAUCCUUGAGAUACCACUUUCUUCAUAUUGAGCCUCUAACCUAGAUC
rnacentral:rRNA from 1 species